GUGGCCCAAAAGGGCCAGGUGAAGGGGAAAAGAGUCUCAGCCUCAAAGAAAACGGAAACCCAGAGAGGGGCUUGCAGUUGCCUCUGGCUGCUAUGCCCACCACCCCAGCUCCCCAGAAGAGGCAGGACUCCCACACCUAGGACCCCUUGUAUGUACACCGAGGUCUUCCCCCAGGGGCCCCCACCCUCAUCAGACCUCAACAUUUGGUGUCAGUGGGAGUAAAAGGGAAGCCCCCUACAAAUGCCGUAGGAUGCUAUGGUUGGAAGGGCAGAUUCCCACCACUGCAUCUGAGCCUGGGCUGGGCCAUGGGCAGCCUGGUGAGAGGUGCCAGCCAAGAAAGGGAGUUUGGAAAGAGUCGGUCCCAGAUGAUGGAAGAGCUCACAGACCUCAUACUCUGUGAUUGUUUGAUCUGUGUGCCCCCGUUCAUUCACUCACACGUUCCCUAAGCAGUUUCAUUCUGGCGACACAGCCCCCACCCUCAGAGAGCCCCAGUCCUUACAGAGAGGUGGGCGGCACAGUGACCUCUCAGUGAGUCCUGGGCCCGGUAGCAGCAAGAGGAAAGUAGGACUGAGGUCCCUCAGGGGAGGUGAAAUGGAAAUGAAGGGGUUAUGAGAAAUAGACAGGAGAGGAACAGCAUUCCAGGGAAGGGGCUCAGCAUGAGCAAAGGUUUGGAGAAAGAAAGGUAGGCAUUCUGGUCAGGGUCAGCAGGGAAGAUAGGAGAUGUGCCCAGGGAAUGGUGGUGCCAUCUGGAAGACUCACCCAUCAGGUUCUGGAGUGAGGUCACAGUCCCAUGGGAUUUCAAAUUGCCGAGUAACAUGGUGGGAGCAAUGGGUGACACUCAGGACCCAUGGGGAGGGAGGUGAGGGGACUGAUGAAAGAGGCAGAACCAGAGACACUGAGGAGAGGAAACCAAUGAGACUGAACUGAGACGUGGAAGGCUCCAGGGACAGCAGGUGGAUUCAGAAGUGCCCUUUCCAUGGCAUGCCCCAUUCUCUGCCCCAACCCUGGCCUUAGGCUGCAGGUAGGCAAUGGGGAUGUACGCAAAGAGCCCUCGUGGAGAUGUACGCAAAGAGCCCUCGUUUGGGUCCCAGUACUCCCCAAGAGUAGGCCUGGUGGUGCUAACUACAGCCUCUCUUCCUCCUCAAGAACCCCAAUUAAUUUUAUUUCCUCUUCCUUCACCUUGGCGUUGUGAAACCUCCAUGCACAAGGAGCCCUCAGGGUGAGUCCCGAGACACACAGCACACACCUUAUAGGGGCACAGUCACCAGGGUGAGGCCAGAGCAGUGGUACAGACGAGGACAGGCAGGCCAUGCCCAGGACAAGCUCAUGUCAAGGCAGGCAGGAGACCCCAGACCCAGAGGGGUGGCUGAAGCUGCCAAGUAGGAGGGUCUGGGUAGCCCAGGAAAGAUUCCAGAGGGGGAGUCAUUUCCAAGGACGAGUCUUAAAACCUCCUGAAUUGAGCAUUUCCUAGGCCAAAGGACCAGAAGAUGUAAAUGCAGAAAUGGCAAGCCAGCCUGCCAAGACUGGGUAUGGGCAGAAGUGGCCCGGGGAGGCAGCAGGCAGCAGGAUAUAAGGGCCCAGCACCACUUCCAGGCAUGAUGAGGCCUUCCACUGCUGUGGCAGAGCCCCCAGGGAGAGGACAGAUGGCACCGCAGUGGGCGCUGGCACCAUGCGGAUACUUGGACCAAAGACCUUGACCCAGAAAUUGUUGUCAAUCAGGCUUAGAGCUGGAGGACCCUGUCACCACCCCACAUCAUGCGCCUAGACUCU